GACGAACGCUGGCGGCGUGCCUAACACAUGCAAGUCGAGCGAUCAAACGCGGACCUUGCUCCUCUGACGUUAUGAGUGGACGGGUGAGUAAUACCUGGAUAACCUACCUCUCAGUCCUGGUUAACAUCGGGAUACCAGUGCUAAUACCGCAUAAUAUUUUGAACCGCACGGUUCAAUAGUCAAGGACGGUUUUGCUGUCUCUUAUAGAUGGAUCCGCGCCCCAUUAGCUAGUUGGUGGGGUAAUGGCCUACCAAGGCAACGAUGAGUAGCCGACCUGAGAGGGGGAUCGACCGUACUGGAGCUGAGACACGGCCCAGACGCCUACGGGAGGCGGCAGCAGGGAGUCUUCCGGAAUGGUCGAAGGACUGACGGAGCAGCGCCGCGUGAGUGAUGAAGGACUUCGGAUCGUAGAAAUCUGUUAUCAGGAAAGAACAAAUGUGUAAGUAAGUGUGCACGGCUUGACGGUACCUAGUCAGAAAGCCACGGCUAACUACGUG
rnacentral:rRNA from 1 species